rnacentral:rRNA from 1 species
UGGGGAAUAUUGGGCAAUGGGGGCAACCCUGACCCAGCGACGCCGCGUGAGGGAAGAAGGUUUUCGGAUUGUAAACCUCUGUCCUCUGUGAAGAUAAUGACGGUAGCAGAGGAGGAAGCCACGGCUAACUACGUGCCAGCAGCCGCGGUAAUACGUAGGUGGCAAGCGUUGUCCGGAAUUGCUGGGUGUAAAGGGAGCGUAGGCGGGGUGGCAAGUUGGAUGUGAAAGACCUAAGCUCAACUUAGGGGCUGCCGUUGAUACUGCAUAGCUGGAAUAUGGUUGCUGUUGGCGGAAUGUGUAGUGUAGCGGUGAAAUGCAUAGAUAUUACACAGAACACCUAUUGCGAAGGCAGCUGACAAAACCAUUAUUGACGCUGAGGCACGAAAGUGUGGGGAUCAAACA